rnacentral:SRP_RNA from 1 species
UCGUGCUAGACGGGGAGCUAGCGGUGCCCUGUACCCGCAAUCCGCUAUAGCGGGGUCGAAUUCCCCUCCGAGGGCCAGAUGCUUCUGAGACUGCCCUGGCAUCUGGCGUUGAGGAUUGGGUCCUACGCGGCGGAAGCCCGUGAACCCCGCCAGGUCCGAGAGGAAGCAACGGUAAGCGGUCACUUCCGGGUGCCGUAGGGGAGCCUGGUCUGAGCUGGGUGCCUGCGGCAAGUCAGGGGAUAUGGCUCGAAGAGGGGUGCACGA